UCCCCACCUAUGAACCUGGCGGCAUGCCCUACACAUGCAAGUCGAACGGCAGCAUGAUCUAGCUUGCUAGAUUGAUGGCGAGCGGCGAACGGGUGAGUAAUACAUCGGAACGUGCCCUGUAGUGGGGGAUAACUAGUCGAAAGAUUAGCUAAUACCGCAUACGACCUGAGGGUGAAAGUGGGGGACCGCAAGGCCUCAUGCUAUAGGAGCGGCCGAUGUCUGAUUAGCUAGUUGGUGAGGUAAAGGCUCACCAAGGCGACGAUCAGUAGCUGGUCUGAGAGGACGAUCAGCCACACUGGGACUGAGACACGGCCCAGACUCCUACGGGAGGCAGCAGUGGGGAAUUUUGGACAAUGGGGGCAACCCUGAUCCAGCAAUGCCGCGUGUGUGAAGAAGGCCUUCGGGUUGUAAAGCACUUUUGUCCGGAAAGAAAUCGCACUUACUAAUAUUAGGUGUGGAUGACGGUACCGGAAGAAUACGGACCGGCUAACUACGUGCCAGAAGCCGACGGUAAUACGUAGGGUCCAAGCGAUAAUCGGAAUUACUGGGCGUAAAGCGUGCGCAAGGCGGGUUGUGCAAGACCGAUGUGAAGUCCCCGGGCUUAAGCGGGGAAUAGCAUAGGUGAAUGAACGAUCGAGUGUGCCACAGGGGGCAAAAUUCAAGUGUAGCAGUAAAUGCGUAAAAAUGGGAGGAUAACGAUUGAAAAGGGGCACCUGGGAAACUGACGCAAUGCAAAACGGGGGCAACAGGAU
rnacentral:rRNA from 1 species